rnacentral:misc_RNA from 1 species
AACGCACGAGACCUGCGGACCUGCGGAGGGAUCAUUACCGAGUUCUAGGGGUCUUCGGACCUCUUCUCUCACACCCUAUGUGUACCUACCUCUGUUGCUUUGGCGGGCCGCGGUCCUCCGCGGCCGGCCCCCUAACCGGGGCUGGCCAGCGCCCGCCAGAGGACUACCAAACUCCAGUCAGUAAACGUAGCUGUCUGAUCAAAAGUUUAAUAAACUAAAACUUUUAACAACGGAUCUCUA